AAACCAACAGGGAUUGCCUCAGUAACGGCGAGUGAAGCGGCAAAAGCUCAAAUUUGAAAUCCCCCGGGAAUUGUAAUUUGAAGAGAUUUGGGUCCGGCCGGCAGGGGUUAAGUCCACUGGAAUGUGGCGCCACAGAGGGUGACAGCCCCGUGAACCCCCUCAACGCCUUUAUCCCAGGUCUCCAAGAGUCGAGUUGUUUGGGAAUGCAGCUCUAAGUGGGUGGUAAAUUCCAUCUAAAGCUAAAUACCGGCGAGAGACCGAUAGCGAACAAGUACAGUGAUGGAAAGAUGAAAAGCACUUUGAAAAGAGAGUGAAAAAGUACGUGAAAUUGUUGAAAGGGAAGGGCUUGCAAGCAGACACUUAACUGGGCCAGCAUCGGGGCGGCGGGAAACAAAACCACCGGGGAAUGUACCUUUCGAGGAUUAUAACCCCGGUCUCAAUUUCCUUGUUGCCCCGAGGCCUGCAAUCUAAGGAUGCUGGCGUAAUGGUUGCAAGUCGC
rnacentral:rRNA from 1 species